CAUAGGACUAAGCUGCUGCCCACAGGACAAAGGGUUUCAGACAGAGGAAUGUUCUGCCCAGGUGUUUCCAUGACUCACACCAUCAUAGUGAACUGUUCUGCCCUGGUUAACUCCAUGACAUGCACCUCAUAGAUCUUGGUGUCAGAGAAGAUCUUGGGAAAAUGCUGCUGCCCCUGGGAUAAAGGGUUUCAGCCAGGAGC